UCUAGCCUGCCCAGUGACAAGAUUAAACGGCCGCGGUACCCUAACCGUGCGAAGGUAGCAUAAUCACUUGUUCUUUAAAUGAGGACUAGUAUCAAUGGCAUCACGAGGAUCUUACUGUCUCCCCGCUCCAAUCAGUGAAACUGAUCUCUCCGUGAAGAAGCGGGGAUAUUUAUAUAAGACGAGAAGACCCCAUGGAGCUUUAAACCCAACAGCACCUAUUCUUUUUAUAUCUUCAUAUUCUCCUAGUAAAUGCUUGUUUGGUUUUAGGUUGGGGUGACCACGGAGUAAAAAACAACCUCCACGAAAAAGGAGCUAAUAACUCUUAUCAAAGAAUCACACUUCCAUGAAUUAGUAAACUAAUUUUUAAUGAUCCGAUUUUCGAUCAACGAACCAAGUUACCCUGGGGAUAACAGCGCAAUCCACCUCAAGAGCUCCUAUCGACAGGUGGGUUUACGACCUCGAUGUUGGAUCAGGGCCCCCCAGUGGUGCAGCAGCUACUAAAGGUUCGUUUGUUCAACGAUUAAAGCCCU
rnacentral:rRNA from 1 species